AUUGAACGCUGGCGGCAGGCCUAACACAUGCAAGUCGAACGAGUGGCGGAGGGGUGAGUAAUGUCUGGGAACCUGCCUUAUGGCGGGGGAUACCUACUGGAAACGGUGGCUAAUACCGCAUACCAUCAGAUGUGCCCAGGUUGGAUUAGCUAGUUGGUGGGGUAAAGGCUCACCAAGGCGACGAUCCCUAGCUGGUCUGAGAGGAUGAUCAGCCACACUGGAACUGAGACACGGUCCAGACUCCUACGGGAGGCAGCAGUGGGGAAUAUUGCACAAUGGGCGAAAGCCUGAUGGAGCAAUGCCGCGUGAAUGAAGAAGGUCUUCGGGUUGUAAAGCACUUUCAUCGGGGAGGCGUUACCUGAACAAGAAGCACCGGCUAACUACGUGCCAGCAGCCGCGGUAAUAC
rnacentral:rRNA from 1 species